rnacentral:misc_RNA from 1 species
GAUGAAGAAGGUAGCGAAAUGCGAUAAGUAAUGUGAAUUGCAGAAUUCAGUGAAUCAUCGAAUCUUUGAACGCACCUUGCGCCCUUUGGACUUCUGAAGGACAUGCCUGUUUGAUUAUCAUGAACACCUCAACUCCUUAUGGUCUUCCAUGAUGAGCUUGGACUUUGGGGGUUUUGCUGGCCUACAGUCAGCUCCUCUAAAAUAAAUCAGCUUACCGGUGUUUGGUGGGUAUCAUGGGUGUGAUAACUAUCUACGCUCGUGGUUUUCCACCAGGUAACCUUCAGCAGUGGAGGUUCACUGGAGCUCAUAGAUGUCUCUCCUCAGCGAGGACAGCCCUUUGAAUGUUUGAUCUCAAAUCAGGUAGGACUACCCGCUGAACUUAAGCAUAUCAAUAAGCGGAGGA